rnacentral:rRNA from 1 species
GUCCACGCCGUAAACGUUGGGCGCUAGGUGUGGGAACCUUCCACGUUCUCCGUGCCGUAGCUAACGCAUUAAGCGCCCCGCCUGGGGAGUACGGCCGCAAGGCUAAACUCAAAGGAAUUGACGGGGCCCGCACAAGCGGCGGAGCAUGCGGCUUAAUUCGAUGCAACGCGAAGAACCUUACCUAGGCUUGACAUGUAUGGAAAUCUCACAGAGAUGUGAGGUCCGCAAGGGUCAUACACAGGUGGUGCAUGGCUGUCGU